GAUGAACGCUGGCGGCGUGCCUAAUACAUGCAAGUCGAGCGAACGGACGAGAAGCUUGCUUCUCUGAUGUUAGCGGCGGACGGGUGAGUAACACGUGGAUAACCUACCUAUAAGACUGGAAUAACUUCGGGAAACCGGAGCUAAUACCGGAUGAUAUUUUGAACCGCAUGGUUCAAAAGUGAAAGACGGUCUUGCUGUCACUUAUAGAUGGAUCCGCGCUGCAUUAGCUAGUUGGUAAGGUAACGGCUUACCAAGGCAACGAUGCAUAGCCGACCUGAGAGGGUGAUCGGCCACACUGGAACUGAGACACGGUCCAGACUCCUACGGGAGGCAGCAGUAGGGAAUCUUCCGCAAAGGGCGAAAGCCUGACGGAGCAACGCCGCGUGAGUGAUGAAGGUCUUCGGAUCGUAAAACUCUGUUAUUAGGGAAGAACAUAUGUGUAAGUAACUGUGCACAUCUUGACGGUACCUAAUCAGAAAGCCACGGCUAACUACGUG
rnacentral:rRNA from 1 species